rnacentral:rRNA from 1 species
UAGGGAAUCUUCCACAAUGGACGCAAGUCUGAUGGAGCAACGCCGCGUGAGUGAAGAAGGUUUUCGGAUCGUAAAGCUCUGUUGUUGGUGAAGAAGGAUAGAGGCAGUAACUGGUCUUUAUUUGACGGUAAUCAACCAGAAAGUCACGGCUAACUACGUGCCAGCAGCCGCGGUAAUACGUAGGUGGCAAGCGUUGUCCGGAUUUAUUGGGCGUAAAGCGAGCGCAGGCGGAAUGAUAAGUCUGAUGUGAAAGCCCACGGCUCAACCGUGGAACUGCAUCGGAAACUGUCAUUCUUGAGUGCAGAAGAGGAGAGUGGAAUUCCAUGUGUAGUGGUGGAAUGCGUAGAUAUAUGGAAGAACACCAGUGGCGAAGGCGGCUCUCUGGUCUGCAACUGACGCUGAGGCUCGAAAGCAUGGGUAGCGAACAGG